CGUGAUUCACCUGUUCCGGAAGGGAUUUCCCAGGUCGCGAAUCGCGUUUCACUUGGCGCGGCGCAGGUGGGUGCGCGCGCACUCGCUCGGAAGUCCUCUCCAGUGGCGCCGCCGCGCGUCGGAAACUCGAAGGAGAUUCCGGACCGCUUCCGAGAACCGCGGGUGAGUCACGGCGCAGGUCGCGUGGGCGGCGAACGGGGUAGCCGGAACACAUCAAACGAGAUGCGUGACUCACCGAUUCGAUAUGUCGGAUAUUCGAGCGUGUUAACCCGCGGAGCACCGUACAAUUGCACGUAUCCUGUCGCAAAUCACUAUGCCGCGGAUCACUGCGCAGCAGGUGGUUUGGCAAAAACCGCCGCGUCACGAGUUCAUUCAAGAUGGAAAAGAAGCACAUUUGGGAGAUUCCCUUGUACGAGUUCAAAGUGGACCGGAAGGCAGCUGGAGUGGUUCGCAGUAUCGACAACGCAUUAGUCGUUAUUGAAAGGGAAGAAGAAAACAAAAAACAGAGGAAGGUCAAAUCUUAAUUGCAAAAACAGGAAUAUCAUUUUCUGGACACUCUAAUUAAAUUUCACUCGUGGGACCUGCAUCCACGAUGCCACGGAUCGCAGGAUCAUUCGUGGAAGACGUCGUCGAGGAGGACCGGGUCCCUUUACGGGCAUGCCGGCGUGCUUGGGAAACCGAGAGGCUGACAUUCACCUGCUUAGUCGGCUGACCACGAUCAAAUUCGAAUAGACAGCCGGCCGACGUCCUUGAGCUAGCUUUUGCCUGCCAAGGACUCGAGUUAACCCCAUAUAGGAGAGUACAUCGGCUGUCGAAGAAAGAAAAUGGUAGCGAGGAAUGUCAUUGCCGCUUCGUAAAUCGUCUCGCCACGAGGACCGUACGAGUCUCAUGCACGGAAGGCUGCAUACAAGUGCGACCACGCCACUUGCAAACGGCGUUAUGCGUGUACACCCGUACAUACGUUCCUCGCUGCGAAAGGCGCCGAUCUCGCGAGUCGGAAAAUACGGUCCAGCCUUGAAUCGGCGAUUCUCGAGGCUGGGAAACCGCGCGUCGUCAGACGGAAGACGUCACUCGGUCUCUGGCGGCAUCUCUAUCAGCGAUUUUCUUUGUUUUCACCGUGAUAAUGGGCAGCGUAAACACGCAUGACAUAACGAAACGAUCUCUCUACUAUUGUACCAUAACGUUGAAUUUAUGCGAGCGAACUCAGGCGCGCGCUUGUUUUUUUUCUUUUUUUUUUUCGCGCCGCAUCGAGGCAUAUCGGCGGCCCGCAAUAAAUUGCGAAAUUAAUAACGCGAGUCCUCGCCCGGUUAUCUUAUCGCCGCUAUUUCGGGGCGUGUUGGUUCGACACUUACGUCGUUCGCCGAAAAUACGCCAACCGAGCGGAGAGCCUACAAAAGAGAACCCCGCGACUCCGGUCGCCGUUCCGCCGUGAUUCGCUCGAAUAAAUUCAGAUUAGACGGGAAUUGCCGGCGAACGCCGAGACCGCUUACUUGUCUCGACGAUCGCGCACUUUUAUGCGUAGUUAUCUAGAAUUUAAGAUUACGUGAUGUUAGAGAUUUAUUGUAUCUCAUUCGGGGGAACGGUUGUGCGUUAUGCGGUAUGUCUGCGCGGGUCCGAGGUACGAGCUUCCGGCGUCACCUGAGAAUCUCUCGGCUUAGCCCUAUUCGUGACGCGAGCGAUUUGCGACCAUUUGCGUCACCGUUCGCCGCGCUCGCUGAGUUUGCGGAGUUUUUCCAGGACAAAGGAGGAAAGCCCGCUAACCGGCUCGCCUCGCGGAAUACGAAGCGAAAUCGAGCGCAGUUGGACUAUGGCCUGCAGCUGGUUCCCGGGAAUGUGCCGCACAAGAUGUAACGAUAUAUAGUCCUAAUGAGUCAACCCUGUGCGGGUGCACGCACGUGUGUUUCAGCUGAGACGUACGGCUUGCAAAAUACCGGAGACAAAGCCGAGAUUACGCGCGCCGUCCUGCGACUUUCCGUUUCUGUGCGACGAGAUAGGAGAUUUCGUCCGGGAGAUCCUCGCUUUGCUCAAAACCCGUGAUGGAAUCGAAAGACACGUAUCGUGGAAGUCUAAGGGAAAAGAAAGACUUUGGGAUUUUCAUUUGGCAAACAAAAGUCAGUAUCAAGAGCCAUUGUCACGAUGCGUAAUCUUCCCUCACCAGAGAACGGGUAGGGUCAUCCUUGUCGUAGAGUGAAGUAUUUUGCGAAUCUAGUGGGACAAAUCCAUGAAAAUCAUAAUUAUAGGACGCACUUCUUAUUUCUUAAGUUUCGCUCUCAUACAUCAUUUUGUUAAGCGAGAUGCGUUAAACUGUGCUUUUGGUUUCACAUCCUAAGUUCUCUUUCGUUUCUCCGUUACCAAGGAAAGAGAGUUGCGUAUCACGUUAAGCGUUUGCCAUGUAUGGCUUGCAUCCGGUUAGAGGGGAAGAAAAAAAAAUGUCGCAGCCCGGAGAACAAAGAUUUCAGGCGUUCAUUGAAAUUCAAAAUCCAAGUCGAAUAAAGGAGCCCGGGCGCGGCCUACGACGCACUCGUAGAUUUCGGGACGUAUGGCUCCCUUUGUGCUUUUCCUUUAUUCCGUCUGCCCACCGCAGACGGUGGUCAAAGAUAAGGAAACAACGACGACACCCUCAUUCUCCGACGGUUUCUUUGUGCGGCUCGCGUGCGCCUCUAAUCCUACGAGCCAUUGUAUGCAAACCACGAGUAAUUUAAUCAUUUCAUAUUCUCAGGACGCGCUCCAAAACUUGACGCUGUCCGACAGGGCUCGAAUGGAACUGGAUUUGAAUUAGGCAUUUGGAUAGAAUUCAGCAGAGCUUGGGACAUCUUUUGUUUCAACCCAGAGGAAGAUCAUGAAAAAGAAAGGGUUAUUGAAAUUGUUCAUCUAUAUCGUUGGACACUUGUGGAUGUAACUUAAGAGCGCUUCCAUUUUGUACCGUGUAAAUAAGAACGAAAGUUAGAUCAAUUAAGAUUUUCUAUUGUUUCUUUGUUAUAAAAGCUGAUGCAAGCAGUGAGUAAGGUCGGAG